rnacentral:rRNA from 1 species
AACGAACGCUGGCGGCAGGCUUAACACAUGCAAGUCGAACGCCCCGCAAGGGGAGUGGCAGACGGGUGAGUAACACGUGGGAACGUGCCCUUCGCUUCGGGAUAGCCUCGGGAAACUGGGAGUAAUACCGAAUACGCCGUAUUGGGAAAGAUUUAUCGGCGAAGGAUCGGCCCGCGUUGGAUUAGCUAGUUGGCGGUGUAAUGGACCACCAAGGCUACGAUCCAUAGCUGGUCUGAGAGGACGACCAGCCACACUGGGACUGAGACACGGCCCAGACUCCUACGGGAGGCAGCAGUGGGGAAUCUUGGACAAUGGGCGCAAGCCUGAUCCAGCCAUGCCGCGUGAGUGAAGAAGGCCUUAGGGUUGUAAAACUCUCUCGCUGGUGAAGAUAAUGACGGUAACCGGAGAAGAAGCCCCGGCUAACUUCGUGCCAGCAGCCGCGGUAAU